rnacentral:tRNA from 1 species
GCGGACGUGGCGAAAUGGUAGACGCAAGGGACUUAAAAUCCCUCGGCCGAAAGGCUGUGCGGGUUCAAGUCCCGCCGUCCGCACCA